rnacentral:tRNA from 1 species
GCCCUUGUAGCUCAACGGACAGAGCACCGGUCUACGAAGCCGGUGGUGGAGGUUCGAUUCCUCCCGAGGGCACC